rnacentral:rRNA from 1 species
UACGUAGGUGGCAAGCGAUACUCGGAAUUACUAGGCGUAAAGCGCAGGUAGGCGGUUCGGUAAGUCUCUUGUGAAAGCUCCCGGCUUAACUGGGAGAGGUCAAGGGAAACUACCGGGCUUGAGAGUGGCAGAGGAAGCUGGAAUUCCCGGUGUAGCGGUGAAAUGCGCAGAUAUCAGGAGGAACACCGGUGGCGAAGGCGGGUCUCUGGGCCGAUACUGACGCUGAGGAGCGAAAGCGUGGGGAGCGAACAGG